ACGAUUCACUCCCAAAUCCCGGUCGACCAAAUCCCUAACCCUCGUUCCCCAUUCAGUGCAGCGGCAGGGCGAGGCAAUAUCGCUCACGGUCGGCGGCGAGGCCGUAUCCUUGCACCACGGCGGCAAGCCUCCGGAGCUCAGAUGGGAGGAUCUGGCAUUCCGCGGGGUGAAGAUGGAGGACGACGGGGAGCCAUGGGCAAAGAUUACGUCUGUCGUCACUGAAUCCAUCUCCCCUCUCUGGUUCUAUAGUUCAUCAAAGAUUGGUAUUUUAGAUGAUUUGCACGAUUCAAACACAGGACCAUGAGAUGCCAGAUGUGGUGGGUGCAUGCCGCGGCACGAGGUAGAUCACACCUUGCUUGCAAGAAAGAGGUCCUGGAGCAGAGUCUAAAGGAGAAAGAGGUCCUGGAGCAGAGUCUUUGGUUUAGUUGCAAUCAUGUUUGCAAUGGCUGGGAGGUCCUAAUGCAUGAAUGAGCAAUGUUGAAGCUCUUCUUUUGGUGAACUCAGUGUGCUGUAGUAGCUACUUUGUAUGUGUACUGAAUGAAAAUGGCAAUACAAUGAAGCUUCUGAAUUUUACAUGUUUUA